rfam:Ovis aries breed Texel chromosome 1, whole genome shotgun sequence.
UAGGCACUAAUUUUGGCCAAGAGCCUGUGAGUAAAAAGGCUGGAGAUAUAUAUGUAUGUAUAUAUAUAUAUAUAUACAUACAUAUAUAUCUCCAGCCUUUUUACUCACAGGCUCUUGGCCAAAAUUAGUGCCAC